CCACGUGAACGAUGAAGGUCUUCUGAUUGUAAAGUUCUUUUAUUUAGGAAAAAAAGCAGGAUAGGAAAUGAUUCUGCCGUGAUUGUACUAAUUGAAUAAGUGACAGCUAACUAUGUGCCAGCAGCUGCGGUAAAACAUAGGUCACGAGC
rnacentral:rRNA from 1 species